GCCGCUCGCAUGUAAUUCCCCCAACCCCCUGAAGAMGUGUGCCUAUCUAUGCAGGUACGGGCUUAUUUAAUUGAAAGGAGGAAAAAAAAAAUUGUCUCAGUGUUCAGAACCCAAAUGGCAUCGGUAGUAGUGGCAAUGUUUAUGUUUUUUUAAAGCUAAGCAAGCUCAGGAACUGUGCUGGGCACAUAGUGGGGUCUUGCAAGUGCACCCUAAAAAUGUCUAUAGGAUGCACAGGAACUGUGGUUUUCACCUGAAGAACCGAGGCCCCUUCUCCUGAUUUUCUCUGAUAGAAGAAAGAUCUCACUYGGGCCAUGCAGACGGGAUUUAAAGUCAUCUUCCAGAUUUUGCUGAGACCCGUCCUGUUUGUUUGCAGGAGAAGGGGUGUGAGGAGCAUCCUGGUGACACAAGGGACAGAAACCGCUGGGGUUCAGCACACGACGGUGGGAGAAGGCGGCUGCAGCAGGCUCACUCUGAGGCAAACACACCUUCCCAGGCAUGAAGAGGGAACAAACGGAACAUCUUGGAUGUCGGGAGACAGCCACUGUGUCCUGAGACGGUUUCGGAACCAUGGCAAAUAAUGUUGUUUCCCAUAAACAUGGACCACAGUGUGACAUCAACAAAAAAAUYCUCCAGGUCUGCCUGUCGAGAACAGAAAAAAGAGAGAGAAAAGGCUAAACAGGAGAGCUGGAAAAAUCAGCUUUAAGAUGCAAUUUCAUUCACAGCCCGCUAACCCAUCUGUGCCGUCCGUGGUUAUGAUCUGUUCCUCCUUGACUCCGGUGGCAGCUCUCUCUGCUGCCUACUGCCAAGAAGUAGGUCAGAAACCUAUUUUUGUCUCUGUUCUUCCGCGGCCGGAUUACAGUCCCUACGCCCUCGCGGGGACGGGGAAGCUGUGACACUUGUAGGGUKCAGCCGCGGUGGUGGCGAGCGGGGCACGUGGCAGGACCAGCGCCCGGGGGCCGAAACACGGCGAUAUGGGUCACUAGGGCACAUAGCUGCUACCUGCUCCCGCCUCUGUGCCCCACGGGCUAACGAUUUCAUCAGCUCUGCUUGCUAACGUCCUUCUUUCCUCCCCAGGUACCAACUACCCUUUUUUCUCAAAUUGUCCAACUGAUUAACGUAGUUAAGUUAAAUUCAGCAACUGUUUUCAACUUGUGCUUACUUUGAAGUUAGCUAGAAGACACGCCAGCAAGCUGCCCCACUUUUCCAGCUGGAAAUUAGAAAAUAAUAAUAAUAAUAAAUUAAACCGAAGAUCCCA
rnacentral:lncRNA from 1 species